UCUCUCUAUCCCACUAAGAUCCCUAAUUUUCUUCUACACUCAUAGAACCCUAACAAAAGCCAUCUUCGUAUUUCUAAUCUCUUCGUCAGUUCUUUCAAGCCGCCGUCGUCGGAUGUUCCUUUGUCACUGUUUUCCGCCACUAAGAAGCCGAACUGAAAACGAAAAUAAUUCCCGUGUUUGCUCAGACCGUCGCGGCUUCGUUUUUUGCGAUAAUGAAGACUUGAGUUUUGGAACUUACCACAUCAAUUCAAUCUAUAGCCAAUACUAAUCCAAACAAUACACUAAGGCAAGCUAGUUUUAAUAUUUGUCUUUAAAAAGUGGUUUGGAGAUUAAAAGAGUAGUUCUCUUCAAACUACAUUUAUUGUUACUUUUCACUCUAGAAAUUUUGUUUGGAGUUGCAUAUUUAUUUUUUAUUUAAAUUUGAAUGCUUAUUUUGUGGUUUACGCAAGUUUUUACCAACUACCAUAUGCAAGUUAGCAUGUAAUAUGAGUUUUUUCCAUAACUAUUUUUAAUCAGUUGUUUUUGAAUUUGAAUGUUUUUGAGGAUGCUGUGAAGAACUUCAAGAUGACGACAUAGGUGAUGAAUUUCAAGAGGUAUACAUAGAUGAUGAAGAGGAUGAUGACUCCGACAGAUUUAAAUGAGUUGGAUGGUGUUGUUUUAGGCUUGUAUUUGAGCAUUAAACUUAAAAAAAUAUGUAUUUUAUCAUUUUUCUAGAAUUAUACUUCUAAGUAAUAACUUAUAGGAUUAAGUAAUGUUAAAUAUUUUGUGUCCAUUAUGUGUAUUUGUGUUAAUGUUGAAAAUUUUAUUAGCAAAACUUCUUGGUA